rnacentral:lncRNA from 1 species
UCUCAAUGUGUUUACUUACACCCUUUACAUCCAUGUCUACUUUACUGUCUGUGUGGAGCUAAUUGUUUAAUUAACAUGUUCAUUCUUUUUCACCUGUUUCUGUUGUGAAUCCCUAUACCCAUGUUUCCCUCUAUGUGCUUUGAGUUGUAGUUCAGGAUGUAGCAAUAUGCAAGUUAUUGUUUGUGUUUGGACUUGAUCCCUUAGGGGAUUCUGACUCCCAAAACAAUGUGUUUUAAUAGGCUUGUGGGAUGCGCCAGCAUUUUUAUUGCUACUUAUGCCCACUAGCCUAUCUUUGCUUCUUUAUCACUUCCCCUUUCCUUUUUUACAGCUCUGCACUUACACUUUCUCCUAGUUUCUAAGUCCCCCCCCUCUUGUGAGCCUUGCCUUGAGACCUUGAGUUUCCUCUAAACUUGGACACUUGAGGGCUGGUCUGUUCCACACUCCACUAUGUUUUGAACCUAUACUGCAUUUGGGUGUGAGCACUACCUGGUGUCCAUGUGAGGCUCUUAGGGAACUCUGACACAUUCAAAUAAUCGAAAGACUUUGGAAUAUUGAUCUUUGGAUUUGGUUUACUUCAUAAAUCAGACAGGAAGUCUGAAUUAGGCUUUCCUUGGUUGUAACUUUUAGCUUCUGAGUGUAUUUUGUACUUUUCUUUCUUUCUAGGUUGUAAUAACUAUGUAAUAAAGAAUUCUCGGGGAUGGCUAGUAAAAAGGGAAUGGAGUAGCCGUAUACAAAAAGGGGUAGAUUAUUUGCCAAUAGGAUUAUUAAUUUCUACAUUCACAUAGAUAACUUGCCUAUAGGUUUAUGAAUUCCGGCAUCCACGUAGAUAUCCCGCUGAUAGGUUUUCUUAUAGAAUUCUGCACUUGCAUAUAAACACCAUGACUACAAGAACUCCUGCAUUCAUAUAAAUACCAUGUCUGUAA